GGGGAAAUUCAAAGCGACCCAAAUGUGAUUUUCUCUUUUUUAGCCCCCUUUUUUGCUUCUCUCUUUUAAAUUUAUUUUUUUUAAUCUUUUUGAGGGUUUAUACCUGAGAUGAAACGGUACCCAUGUGGAGUCUUUUGCAUAUUCUUGAUGGUUAUUCUUAUUUUGCUUUGUUUCUAUUUUUUUUUCCUUGUUAUACGAUAAAUUUGGAAACAAUUAGUUUUUUUUUUUUUUUUU
rnacentral:misc_RNA from 1 species